GUGAACUGAUCGCCAGGACCGUGUGUCAGUGAUUUAACUCAAAGUUCUGCAUUUUUCCAAAGUCUUCACCGCGUACAAUCUGCAUCUUUAAUGGACUAUCACUGCCGACGACACCAUACGGGACAAUGUUAAUGCAUCAUUUGCUUAACCGUCCACAAAUGCCCUGAUCUCGCAGGGACUUCGCAACAGUGCUGCAACUCGCGCAAAAUCGACACACCACAGGAAUUUUUUUAUUCAUUCGUGAAUAUGGCAAAGCGACUGCACUGAACUGGAGCUGUGGUUUGCAACACAAUGUUGCAAAUAUUUUGAAGAAGAACACGAUGCUCUCCCUCUCGCAUGCCCCGUAACUGCUUGCAUUCAUUCAGUCCAGCUUGGCUCGAGCUCCGUCUUCUCUCCUGGAGAUUUUCCUUCCAGUUUCCUCUCAAUUAUGUUCACUUUCGCUGCCUUUUGCUAUAUGCUUUCCCUUGUCCUCUGUGCUUCUCUCAUCUUCUUCGCGAUCUGGCAUAUAACAGCCUUUGAUGAGCUUCAGGCAGACUUCAAGGUGCCGAUCGAUCAGGGCAAUCCACUUCACGCGCGUGAAAGACUUCGAAAUAUUGAGAGGAUCUGCUGCCUGCUGAGAAAGUUGGUGCUUCCAGAGUACUCUAUCCAUGGACUCUUCUGUAUCAUGUUCCUGUGUGCUCAGGAGUGGCUUACUGUAGGCCUGAAUAUCCCUCUGCUCUUCUACAACACAUGGAGCAGGUACUUUCACAGCCCCACAGACACUAAGGAGCUUCUCUACGAUCCAGCAUCAGUCAUGAACGGAGACACACUCAAAUUCUGCCAAAAAGAAGCCUGGUGCAAGAUGUCCUUCUUUGUCCUCUCGUUCUUCUACUAUCUCUACUGCCAAAUAUGCUUUUUAGUGUGUGCCUUUGCUAUAGUAUAAGCUAACUUAAGCCUAUAGCAUAGCAGAGAUAUAUACAUAAACAAGCAUUUGAACUGACAAGGACGCACUUGGAUGGCGCCAGCAACAUGCCUUUGGUAUGAUCUACUCCUUGGUGACCUCAUAACAGAGUUCUCAACACAGCUCUUAAGACUCUGUUUUCCGAAAGCUCUAAACUACAUUUGGAUGAAACAAGAGCACCGCUAGACACAAGUUCAACACACUGCAGUGUCUGAACCUACAGAGAAGACUUGACCCCAUCUUCCCAGAGUAUAAGAAGAACCCAGUGUUGUUUACAGAUCUGACUCAACGCCCUAGAUGUCUCAUGGACCUGGUGUGAUGCGCUUUUCACAAGCUCACAGUAACAUUUGCACAGAUUGUCUCAGGCAUAGCACAACAUGUUCUUUACCACUUUGAGGCACAAAACCUGCCAACCUUUACACUCACUAUAUGUAGCUUCAAAUUCAUGUCGGGUUAAAACAAAGGAAAGGAAAAACGAUGGCUAACUUGAUCAGCGAAUGUUUCAUUUCUACCAGUCACACACUAGGCCACUGAGUUUGAUUACGUGAGAAGCUUUUGUGAUAUAUUUUAUGUGUAUCUGUGCACUCCUAAAAUAAGCGUUUUUAAUAUAAAAAUACGUAUCUGUUGCAUUACUUGUGUACAUAGAGAACUUUGUGUAAUGCUUUUAUGUGUUGGUGUCAGUGGGUUGAGAUGUUUUUGGACUUUAUAUUUACAAAUGCUGAUAUCGAGGCUUUAUUAUAGAAAACAAGAGCCACUUUUCCACAAUUUUGCACAAAGUUGUUAUGAGUUUGCACAAUAGAUACAGUUAUUGGUUGUGGUGGAAAAAAGUAAUAUUUAUAUACCCAGUACGAGUCUUCCAAUAUAUUACAGUGCAUCAAAAUAUCAUAGAUUUUCAUUCUAGGGAAGAAAUGAAAAACACAGCUCAUGAUCUACAAAUUUCACUUUCUCAUUUUGUAUUAUCGUUAUUAUAUUAACUGUAUUACUGCUAUACGACAAGGUCAGCAAUACUGAAACAAGUUAUUUAAGGAACCAUUGAGUUUGUUUAUCUAUCUAUCUAUCUAUCUAUCUAUCUAUCUUUCUACCAUUUCUCUUUUUUUGUUCUUAAAAAAAAUCUCCAACCACACAGUUCACAAGUGUUUCUGACUACUACUUUCUACAGCUUUUAAAUGAACUAUGUUGUUGGAUCAGUUAGGCUACUGUCUGGAGUAACCACAUGAUGCAUAUAAGCAUAAACCCCUCAAGACAUCUAUGUGAUGCUUUGGAUGAGCACCAUAUAUAAUGCAGAGUACUGAAAAUAGCAGUAGACACACUACAUCAUUUUCAUUGCCGUGUAGGGGAUAAUAAUACCAGUCCCCAGCAGUACUAUACUCUGCUGCUGUCAUGUAGCCUGCUGUCUUUUGUAUGCCUUAUGUAGUUACACAUGAUGACCAAACAUUUUCUAUAUCCUUAUUGUGGAUGUGUUCACCCAUCGAAAUAUCAGUUACGAAAUUUGUAUAUGAAAUAAAACAGACUAUUUUAAAACUGUUACAAGUGCUUUGCUUCACAGCUAUGCUUGAAUACCACUGGAGGCAUUGUUUUUUUUCCCUUCAUAAUCAUAUUAAUUUCAUCAGUCAUGCGGUUCAUGAUCCAUAUGUGGUUAUUUCACUCAAUUACCCACAAAGCAUUUCUCACAUCUCCUCAUUUGAAUCCUCACCCCGGAGUGACUCUCUGAAAAACAUUCACCUCAGAUUGACGCAUGCCCCCAUCUCUCACAUGUCUCCUCUUCAGGGAACGUUGCCUCCCGCUCGUAAGUCAACUAUUAUCUGCGUUUUCCGGAGC